rnacentral:rRNA from 1 species
CGCCGUUCGUCCGGCCGGACCGGCCGCACGGGUGGAGUAACACGUAUGCAACCUCGCCCGUGGCAGGGGGAUAAGCGGGGGAAACCCCGUCUAAUACCGCGUAACGCGGCCUAGGGACAUCCCAAGGCCGCCAAAGGGAGCAAUCCCGGCCACGGAUGGGCAUGCGGCGCAUUAGCCAGUCGGCGGGGUAACGGCCCACCGAGGCGACGAUGCGUAGGGGUUCUGAGAGGAAGGCCCCCCACACUGGUACUGAGACACGGACCAGACUCCUACGGGAGGCAGCAG